UAUUGCACAAUGGGCGCAAGCCUGAUGCAGCCAUGCCGCGUGUGUGAAGAAGGCCUUCGGGUUGUAAAGCACUUUCAGCCAGGAGGAAAGGUUAGUAGUUAAUACCUGCUAGCUGUGACGUUACUGACAGAAGAAGCACCGGCUAACUCCGUGCCAGCAGCCGCGGUAAUACGGAGGGUGCGAGCGUUAAUCGGAAUUACUGGGCGUAAAGCGUACGCAGGCGGUUUGUUAAGCGAGAUGUGAAAGCCCCAGGCUCAACCUGGGAACUGCAUUUCGAACUGGCAAACUAGAGUGUGAUAGAGGGUGGUAGAAUUUCAGGUGUAGCGGUGAAAUGCGUAGAGAUUUGAAGGAAUACCGAGGCGAAGGCAGCCACCUGGGUCAACACUGACGUCCUUACGAAA
rnacentral:rRNA from 1 species